UACGUAGGGCGCAAGCGUUGUCCGGAAUUAUUGGGCGUAAAGAGCUCGUAGGCGGUUUGUCGCGUCUGCUGUGAAAUCCUCAGGCUCAACCUGGGGCUUGCAGUGGGUACGGGCAGACUAGAGUGCGGUAGGGGUGACUGGAAUUCCUGGUGUAGCGGUGGAAUGCGCAGAUAUCAGGAGGAACACCGAUGGCGAAGGCAGGUCACUGGGCCGCAACUGACGC
rnacentral:rRNA from 1 species